AACGAACGCUGGCGGCAUGCCUAACACAUGCAAGUCGAACGAGACCUUCGGGUCUAGUGGCGCACGGGUGCGUAACGCGUGGGAACCUGCCCUUAGGUUCGGAAUAACUCCCCGAAAGGGGUGCUAAUACCGGAUAAUGUCUUCGGACCAAAGAUUUAUCGCCUUUGGAUGGGCCCGCGUUGUAUUAGCUAGUUGGUAGGGUAAAAGCCUACCAAGGCGACGAUCCAUAGCUGGUCUGAGAGGAUGAUCAGCCACACUGGGACUGAGACACGGCCCAGACUACUACGGGAGGCAGCAGUGGGGAAUAUUGGACAAUGGGCGAAAGCCUGAUCCAGCAAUGCCGCGUGAGUGAUGAAGGCCUUAGGGUUGUAAAGCUCUUUUACCCGGGAUGAUAAUGACAGUACCGGGAGAAUAAGCUCCGGCUAACUCCGUG
rnacentral:rRNA from 1 species